UUGAAUGUAAAAUUUUUAUUUAAUUAUUAUUAGUUAUGGUCUUUAAAAUUAAAAAUUUUGGCGGUAUUUUAGUCUUUUUAGAGGAACCUGUUCUUUAAAUGAUAAUCCACGAUUUUAUUAACUUUUAUUAUUAAUUUGUAUAUCGUCGUAGUUAAAUAUUUUGUUAGAAUUAUAAUAUUUAAAAUUUUUAUAAAAAAAAAUUAAUCAGAUCAAGGUGCAGUUUAUAUAAAAGUAGAAAUGGGUUACAUUAAAAUUAUUUUUGGAUUUUAAAUAUUGGUAUUUAAAUGAAAUUGGAUUUAAAUGUAAUAUUAAUUAAUUAAUUAAUAUGAUUUUGGCUCUAAGGUAUGU
rnacentral:rRNA from 1 species